UAAAGUAACAGGGGCUUGGCUUGAUUCUAGCUUGUAUUCUUUGUUAGAAACUAAUGAUUUAUUUAAAGAUAUAAUUAAAAGUCCUGAAAAAAUUUUUGACCAGGAAAACGCAUUAGAAAAUUAUAUUGAAUCGAAAUACUAUAGUGUUAAGAAAACCGGAACCCUAAUUGAGCGCUCUAGGAUUAAAAAUGGUUUUUCUAUUUUACACUGCAACAUGCGAAGAUUACCAAAAAAUAUAUUAUUAUUGGAAGAACUUUUGUGCUCAGUUAAAGAAACACCCAAGAUCAUAGCUGUCUCAGAAACAAAAUUAAAAGAAAAUAAUUUAUACAACAUAACCUUAGAAGGCUACACGUUUCUGGGGUCUAACUCGAAAACAAACGCUGGAGGUGUAGGUCUUUAUGUGGAUGAACAACUAGACUUUGUUCAAAGGAAGGGCUUAGAAAUAAUUUUGGAAGGUGUCGAAUCGUGCUGGAUUGAAAUUGAGAAUAAACAACAAAAAAACAUUGCAAUUGGCUGUAUCUAUAGACAUCCAAAUAAUGAUUGUAAUCUUUUUUAUGAACACCUAAGGAAUACAUUAGUGACGCUGAACAACAAAGGUCACGAAGUUGUACUAAUAGGCGAUAUAAAUAUUAACUUUUUACAGUACAAUGCAAACAAUUUUACAUCCGAGUAUCUUGAUAUGAUUCUUGAAAUGGGAUCUAUGCCAUUGAUUACAAAACCUACUCGUAUAACCGACCAUACAGCAACAUUAAUAAACAUUAUACUAAUGUUCCGGAAAAAGUCAUCAAUGCCGGAAUUUGUACAGCUGACAUAACUGACCACUUGCCCGGUAUUUUGCACAAUAGCCAACAAACUGCCUGAAAUAGAUCGUAUUCAGUAUUCUAGAGACUUUUCAAAUUUUAAUAAAGAUAUGUUUCUUAAUGACAUUCAAAAUAUUAAUUUCCCCAACCUGAUUAGUGAAGAGGAUGUUAAUGUUAGUAUGAAUAAUAUUAUAGACAUACUUCAGGACAUCACUGAUAAGCAUGCUCCGGUGGUAUGUAGGUUAUCGAAUAAAAAAAGAAAAAGGAAAAAUAAACCAUGGAUAACAAACGUAAUAUUAGUCUCCAUAAAGCACAAACAAAAACUGUUUAAAACGCAUUAUUUAACUAAUGAUCCCAUCAAAGUAAGAAAGUAUAAAACCUACAGUAAUAAAUUAAACAAAUUAAAAGAAAUUGCUAGAAAGAAUUAUUUUAAAAAUAAAUUUGCACUUAAUAGUGGAAACAUGAAAGCAACCUGGAAGAUAAUAGGGAUGGUUAUAAA